UUAGCCUCAACCUGAAUAAUCAAAGCUAGAAAUUAUAAUGCAAAAGGAAAUCAAAGAGGAAGGAAGGAUAAGAGAAAGUCCAGUCAUAGCCAUCAGAAAGUUCAGACAUCCAAGAGGAAAACAAUACAGGUAACAGAGAAUACAGUGACUGGCUCAAGUGAUAAGCGGAAGGAUACUUAUGUAACAGAGAAUAAUGAAGGGGGUCUGAAAAGGAGGGAAUCUUCUUCAGAGGACAAUUGUUGUUCAUAUUCUAAGUAUGAGAAGGAGCAGCAGGAACUUAGGGAAGCAAUAAAGAACAUUUCUCAGUAAGUAGUCAUACGAGUUCCUUAAUUCUGUCAUCAUGAUUUCUUUGCCUUUAAUCUUCUCUAGGUUAAACUGUCACGUAAGGUUAUGAACUCUGCUCUCAUUUUUCUGUUUUUCUUUGUCAUUAUGAAUCUUUAGCUACAAAGAGUAUGUGCAGGAAUAUCGUGAGAAGUAUGAUAGUUACUGCUCGCUGAACAAAACUCUGGAGAAUUACAGGAAUGAAUUCCAUAAACUGGGAAGGGACCUUGAAAAUGCUAAAGGGAAGGAUAUGGAAAAGUAUCAUAGCAUUUUGGGGAAAUUAAGGGAAUCUUAUCGCCAGUGUGGGACGAGUCAUAAACGGCUGAAAAAAAUAUUUAUAGUCCUUCAUGAAGAAUUGCAGCACCUGAAACAGAUGAUUAAAGACUGCAUUGUCUCAAAUACAAGAAACUGUUGCCUCUUCUCGUUGUAGACCCUAUGUUGCCCGGAGGAACCUUCGAGGUUUCUACUUAUGACAGGGUUUGUUCCACAGAUUGCACUGCAGUUUGUGUGAAAAUUGAUUUGUAGAUGGUAAGAAAGGGCUAGAGUCAGUCUUUUGCGUGAAGCUUGAAGAUGCUCUUGCCAAGUUAUGCAUGGGAAUCUUGUAGUCACCUGACCAAACAUGGAAAAUCUUGGACGCCAAUCUCUUGGUUUGAGAUGUUUCUGGUAAAUACCAACAGUUUUAGAGCAAUUUGGAAAAAAAGAAAUUUGGCACACCCCUUCUCAAGCAGGUUUACAGGCCGUAAUUUUUUGGGUGGAUAUUCAUGGUAGUUUCACAGUUUGUUGUUGCUCUGGCUGCUACACUGUAAAAUGGCCAUUCCCCUGGCCCCCAUUUUUGGAAGGAUAAUAAAAUCUCUCUCUCUCUCUCUCUCUCUCUCUCUCUCUC